CUCCUGGGCUCAAGGGAUCCUCCUGCCUCAGCCUCUCGAGCUUCUGGGCGACAGACCUGAGAGUGCUGCCACCUGUUGACAUGAAGAUCCCUUCUCCGUAGACUCUCUCUGAUUCAGGGAUUGGCUCCACCAGUUUGCAUGAGGGCAGGAGGGCUGGAAUCGCGUCCAGCUGUUUGCCUUGCAACCCCACCUCUUGAGGAGAGGAGUGGUUGGGAGGAACUGGCCACCACGCCCCCUCCAGGCCAGGUGAGGUCAGGCCAGGGCCCUCCGUUAAAUACCUGCUCACUGCAUUCAUUCCUGCUCGCAAAUCACCUCCUCUCCUGCCCGUCCUGAGUGGCCCCACCCCUGCUCUCCACGCCCACCUCCCCUGGAUUUUCUACGUGGCACGGAUUAGUACUCACCGCCGCAGUCUGUGAUUGUUUGCCAACUGUCACUCUCACCCGCUAGACUGUAAGUGCCAAGAGGGGAGGAAUUGUGUCUGUUUUGUUCACUGCUGAGUCUCCAACAACACCGAGCAGAGUGCCUGGCCGUGGUCAGAGCCCAGUAAGCGUUUGUUGAAUGAAUGAACGAAGGUCCCUAAGAACAAGGGCAGGGACACUGUCUGUUUCUACCCGAGACUCUAAGUAUCCUUAGUUCUUGGUGCAGCAUCUGGAAAACAGCAACCCGCAAGGUAUACUGGCUGAGUGAGUGCAGGCGGAGCGGGAGGGGCGGCCAGGAAGGGAAGUGUCCCCCACAGAGGCGCCCCUCCCUCCUCACGGCACACAGGUGCUGGACCCUGAAGAAGACGGUUGCCAUGGUUUUAGUGUUUGUCCCCCGCAAAACCCACAUUGAAAUGUAAUGACCUUUGUAACAGUAGUGAGAGGUUGGACCUUUAAGAGGUGCUGAGGCCACGAGGACAGUGCGCUCAGGAAUGGAUUGAUGCCGUUAUCGUGCUAUUUCGGGAGGGACCGGGGCUCCGCGUUCUCUCUGUCCCUCUCUUUGUCCCUCUGCCAUGGGGUCCCGCGGCAAGGAGGCCCUCGCCAGGGGCCAGACCUUGUUGUUGGACUUCCCGGCCUCCAGAACUGCGAGCCAAUGCGUUUCUGUUCAUUACACAUUAUUCAGUGUUCUGUUAUAGCUGUACGAAAUGGGCUAGGACAUGGAUAUAAAUACAAAUCUCCUGAAUUUACAUUUUUUUAAACCUCCGGGGAGCUGGCGUUUACAGCAGCCACACCCUGAAUCUCUUCCGUGAUGUUAUGUAAGAUCACAGCUUCCCUCUCAGUCUGCGGGCCCGAGAUCACUCAGGUGCUUGUGAGAGACGCAGGCGCCAGCCCCGCCCCAGGAGCACGAAUGGAGAACCUCGGGGUGAGGCCCCGACCUGCACGCCCCGCCAGCCCUCCAGAUUUGUUGCCUGUCAACCUGUCCCUGCCCAUGUCAGAGAGAGAGUCCUUCACUCCAGCCAGGACAGAGGAGGAGGCUUUGUUGGGGGGCACUGAGGAAGCGAGGACCCCCCAGCUCCCGGAGGAAGCCUU